rnacentral:rRNA from 1 species
GAUGAACGCUGGCGGCGUGCCUAAUACAUGCAAGUCGAGCGAACGGACGAGAAGCUUGCUUUUCUGAUGUUAGCGGCGGACGGGUGAGUAACACGUGGAUAACCUACCUAUAAGACUGGGAUAACUUCGGGAGACCGGAGCUAAUACCGGAUAAUAUUUUGAACCGCAUGGUUCAAAAGUGAAAGACGGUCUUGCUGUCACUUAUAGAUGGAUCCGCGCUGCAUUAGCUAGUUGGUAAGGUAACGGCUUACCAAGGCAACGAUGCAUAGCCGACCUGAGAGGGUGAUCGGCCACACUGGAACUGAGACACGGUCCAGACUCCUACGGGAGGCAGCAGUAGGGAAUCUUCCGCAAUGGGCGAAAGCCUGACGGAGCAACGCCGCGUGAGUGAUGCAGGUCUUCGGAUCGUAAAACUCUGUUAUUCGGGAUGAACAUAUGUGUAAGUAACUGUGCACAUCUUGACGGUACCUAAUCAGAAAGCCACGGCUAACUACGUG